rnacentral:rRNA from 1 species
ACAACUUUCAACAACGGAUCUCUUGGCUCUCGCAUCGAUGAAGAACGCAGCGAAAUGCGAUGAGUAAUGUGAAUUGCAGAAUUCAGUGAAUCAUCGAAUCUUUGAACGCAUCUUGCGCUCCUUGGUAUUCCAUGGAGCAUGCCUGUUUGUGUGUCAUUAAA